UUAAGCGACUAAGCGUACACGGUGGAUGCCCUGGCAGUCAGAGGCGAUGAAGGACGUGCUAAUCUGCGAUAAGCGUCGGUAAGGUGAUAUGAACCGUUAUAACCGGCGAUUUCCGAAUGGGGAAACCCAGUGUGAUUCGUCACACUAUCAUUAACUGAAUCCAUAGGUUAAUGAGGCGAACCGGGGGAACUGAAACAUCUAAGUACCCCGAGGAAAAGAAAUCAACCGAGAUUCCCCAAGUAGCGGCGAGCGAACGGGGAGCAGCCCAGAGCCUGAAUCAGUGUGUGUGUUAGUGGAAGCGUCUGGAAAGGCGCGCGAUACAGGGUGACAGCCCCGUACACAAAAAUGCACAUGCUGUGAGCUCGAUGAGUAGGGCGGGACACGUGGUAUCCUGUCUGAAUAUGGGGGGACCAUCCUCCAAGGCUAAAUACUCCUGACUGACCGAUAGUGAACCAGUACCGUGAGGGAAAGGCGAAAAGAACCCCGGCGAGGGGAGUGAAAAAGAACCUGAAACCGUGUACGUACAAGCAGUGGGAGCACGCUUAGGCGUGUGACUGCGUACCUUUUGUAUAAUGGGUCAGCGACUUAUAUUCUGUAGCAAGGUUAACCGAAUAGGGGAGCCGAAGGGAAACCGAGUCUUAACUGGGCGUUAAGUUGCAGGGUAUAGACCCGAAACCCGGUGAUCUAGCCAUGGGCAGGUUGAAGGUUGGGUAACACUAACUGGAGGACCGAACCGACUAAUGUUGAAAAAUUAGCGGAUGACUUGUGGCUGGGGGUGAAAGGCCAAUCAAACCGGGAGAUAGCUGGUUCUCCCCGAAAGCUAUUUAGGUAGCGCCUCGUGAAUUCAUCUCCGGGGGUAGAGCACUGUUUCGGCAAGGGGGUCAUCCCGACUUACCAACCCGAUGCAAACUGCGAAUACCGGAGAAUGUUAUCACGGGAGACACACGGCGGGUGCUAACGUCCGUCGUGAAGAGGGAAACAACCCAGACCGCCAGCUAAGGUCCCAAAGUCAUGGUUAAGUGGGAAACGAUGUGGGAAGGCCCAGACAGCCAGGAUGUUGGCUUAGAAGCAGCCAUCAUUUAAAGAAAGCGUAAUAGCUCACUGGUCGAGUCGGCCUGCGCGGAAGAUGUAACGGGGCUAAACCAUGCACCGAAGCUGCGGCAGCGACGCUUAUGCGUUGUUGGGUAGGGGAGCGUUCUGUAAGCCUGCGAAGGUGUGCUGUGAGGCAUGCUGGAGGUAUCAGAAGUGCGAAUGCUGACAUAAGUAACGAUAAAGCGGGUGAAAAGCCCGCUCGCCGGAAGACCAAGGGUUCCUGUCCAACGUUAAUCGGGGCAGGGUGAGUCGACCCCUAAGGCGAGGCCGAAAGGCGUAGUCGAUGGGAAACAGGUUAAUAUUCCUGUACUUGGUGUUACUGCGAAGGGGGGACGGAGAAGGCUAUGUUGGCCGGGCGACGGUUGUCCCGGUUUAAGCGUGUAGGCUGGUUUUCCAGGCAAAUCCGGAAAAUCAAGGCUGAGGCGUGAUGACGAGGCACUACGGUGCUGAAGCAACAAAUGCCCUGCUUCCAGGAAAAGCCUCUAAGCAUCAGGUAACAUCAAAUCGUACCCCAAACCGACACAGGUGGUCAGGUAGAGAAUACCAAGGCGCUUGAGAGAACUCGGGUGAAGGAACUAGGCAAAAUGGUGCCGUAACUUCGGGAGAAGGCACGCUGAUAUGUAGGUGAAGCGACUUGCUCGUGGAGCUGAAAUCAGUCGAAGAUACCAGCUGGCUGCAACUGUUUAUUAAAAACACAGCACUGUGCAAACACGAAAGUGGACGUAUACGGUGUGACGCCUGCCCGGUGCCGGAAGGUUAAUUGAUGGGGUCAGCGCAAGCGAAGCUCUUGAUCGAAGCCCCGGUAAACGGCGGCCGUAACUAUAACGGUCCUAAGGUAGCGAAAUUCCUUGUCGGGUAAGUUCCGACCUGCACGAAUGGCGUAAUGAUGGCCAGGCUGUCUCCACCCGAGACUCAGUGAAAUUGAACUCGCUGUGAAGAUGCAGUGUACCCGCGGCAAGACGGAAAGACCCCGUGAACCUUUACUAUAGCUUGACACUGAACAUUGAGCCUUGAUGUGUAGGAUAGGUGGGAGGCUUUGAAGUGUGGACGCCAGUCUGCAUGGAGCCGACCUUGAAAUACCACCCUUUAAUGUUUGAUGUUCUAACGUGGACCCGUGAUCCGGGUUGCGGACAGUGUCUGGUGGGUAGUUUGACUGGGGCGGUCUCCUCCUAAAGAGUAACGGAGGAGCACGAAGGUUGGCUAAUCCUGGUCGGACAUCAGGAGGUUAGUGCAAUGGCAUAAGCCAGCUUGACUGCGAGCGUGACGGCGCGAGCAGGUGCGAAAGCAGGUCAUAGUGAUCCGGUGGUUCUGAAUGGAAGGGCCAUCGCUCAACGGAUAAAAGGUACUCCGGGGAUAACAGGCUGAUACCGCCCAAGAGUUCAUAUCGACGGCGGUGUUUGGCACCUCGAUGUCGGCUCAUCACAUCCUGGGGCUGAAGUAGGUCCCAAGGGUAUGGCUGUUCGCCAUUUAAAGUGGUACGCGAGCUGGGUUUAGAACGUCGUGAGACAGUUCGGUCCCUAUCUGCCGUGGGCGCUGGAGAAUUGAGGGGGGCUGCUCCUAGUACGAGAGGACCGGAGUGGACGCAUCACUGGUGUUCGGGUUGUCAUGCCAAUGGCACUGCCCGGUAGCUAAAUGCGGAAGAGAUAAGUGCUGAAAGCAUCUAAGCACGAAACUUGCCCCGAGAUGAGUUCUCCCUGACUCCUUGAGAGUCCUGAAGGAACGUUGAAGACGACGACGUUGAUAGGCCGGGUGUGUAAGCGCAGCGAUGCGUUGAGCUAACCGGUACUAAUGAACCGUGAGGCUUAACCUU
rnacentral:rRNA from 1 species